AUCGGAGACAGGUGCUGCAUGGCUGUCGUCAGCUCGUGUCGUGAGAUGUUGGGUUAAGUCCCGCAACGAGCGCAACCCUCGCCCUUAGUUGCCAGCAUUCAGUUGGGCACUCUAGGGGGACUGCCGGUGAUAAGCCGAGAGGAAGGUGGGGAUGACGUCAAGUCCUCAUGGCCCUUACGGGCUGGGCUACACACGUGCUACAAUGGUGGUGACAAUGGGCAGCCAAACCGCAAGGUGGAGC
rnacentral:rRNA from 1 species